UUUCUGCGUGGCUGUACUUUGCACCGAAAUCAGCGCAGAUCAUCGCACGUGCCUACGUGUUCGACUAGCCGAGCGAAACUGCGACCAGGAGGUGCUACUGUCGGCUGUUUCCGGCGGCACUGCAGCAUCACGGGAUAUUGGAGGUAUCCAUAAAAGAUCGCUGCUUUCUGCGUGGCUGUACUUUGCACCGAAAUCAGCGCAGAUCAUCGCACGUGCCUACGUGUUCGACUAGCCGAGCCAAACUGCGACCAGGAGGUGCUACUGUCGGCUGUUUCCGGCGGCACUGCAGCAUCACGGGAUAUUGGAGGUAUCCAUAAAAGAUCGCUGCUUUCUGCGUGGCUGUACUUUGCACCGAAAUCAGCGCAGAUCAUCGCACGUGCCUACGUGUUCGACUAGCCGAGCCAAACUGCGACCAGGAGGUGCUACUGUCGGCUGUUUCC